AUGGCCCAGCGCCAAGACAUCAUCAUUAGCCAUUUCUCCCAUCCAGGGCACGAGCUCGUGAAGCGCCACCACACUGGGCCGUUCCGCUGCGAUAUGUGCUGGGAAGACCUAUCCGGCACUGCAUACAUCUGCCGUGCCGGCUGCGACUUCUGCAUCCACGAGUCUUGCGCCGGCCACUCACAGACGUUCUCCUCCCCCGAGCACCAUUUGCACCCGCUCACGCUCGUCCAGACCCGCCGCGACGCAACCCUCUCGUGCGACGUCUGCUUUGGGGGAUGCGCCCCUGGCUCCUUCCUCUACCGCUGUCCACCAUGUGGGUUCGAUAUGCACCCGAACUGCGCGCGACUUCCCCAAGUCGUGCGCAGCGUGCGGGACCCUACGCACGACCUCACGCUGGUCAUCGCCGACGGCCACUGUGCCGCGUGCGACGCCGGCGCGGGGCGCGCGUCGUACUACCGCUGCACGGUAUGCAACGUCGACUACCACAUCUCGUGUGCAGCGACCACCGGCGACAACAACAGCGCUCAUGAAGCUCAAGAUGCCCUUGACGCUCAGAUUGUACGAUCAAGGAUUCAAGAGCAGACUAGAAACGCCAUCUUGGACAUGUGGAGUCCUGCCUAUACUGUACGCAGAGAGUACUUCUAG
rnacentral:rRNA from 1 species